rnacentral:rRNA from 1 species
GAUGAACGCUGGCGGCGUGCCUAAUACAUGCAAGUCGAGCGAACGGACGAGAAGCUUGCUUCUCUGAUGUUAGCGGCGGACGGGUGAGUAACACGUGGAUAACCUACCUAUAAGACUGGGAUAACUUCGGGAAACCGGAGCUAAUACCGGAUAAUAUUUUGAACCGCAUGGUUCAAAAGUGAAAGACGGUCUUGCUGUCACUUAUAGAUGGAUCCGCGCUGCAUUAGCUAGUUGGUAAGGUAACGGCUUACCAAGGCAACGAUGCAUAGCCGACCUGAGAGGGUGAUCGGCCACACUGGAACUGAGACACGGUCCAGACUCCUACGGGAGGCAGCAGUAGGGAAUCUUCCGCAAUGGGCGAAAGCCUGACGGAGCAACGCCGCGUGAGUGAUGAAGGUCUUCGGAUCGUAAAACUCUGUUAUUAGGGAAGAACAUAUGUGUAAGUAACUGGGCACAUAUUGACGGUACCUGAUCAGAAAGCCACGGCUAACUACGUG